rnacentral:rRNA from 1 species
CCUACGGGAGGCAGCAGUCGAGAAUCAUUCACAAUGGGGGAAACCCUGAUGGUGCGACGCCGCGUGGGGGAAUGAAGGUCUUCGGAUUGUAAACUCCUGUCAUGUGGGAGCAAAUUAAAAAGAUAGUACCACAAGAGGAAGAGACGGCUAACUCUGUGCCAGCAGCCGCGGUAAUACAGAGGUCUCAAGCGUUGUUCGGAAUCACUGGGCGUAAAGUGUGCGUAGGCUGUUGCGUAAGUCGUGUGUGAAAGGCGCGGGCUCAACCCGCGGACGGCACAUGAUACUGCGAGACUAGAGUAAUGGAGGGGGAGCCGGAAUUCUCGGUGUAGCAGUGAAAUGCGUAGAGAUCGAGAGGAACACUCGUGGCGAAGGCGGGUUCCUGGACAUUAACUGACGCUGAGGCACGAAGGCCAGGGGGGCGAAAGGGAUUAGAUACCCUGGUAGUC